rnacentral:rRNA from 1 species
GACGAACGCUGGCGGCGUGCUUAACACAUGCAAGUCGAACGGUGAAGCGCCUUCCUUUUUGGUGGGUGUGGAUGAGUGGCGAACGGGUGAGUAACACGUUAGUAACCUGCCCCCUUCUUCUGGAUAACCGCAUGAAAGUGUGGCUAAUACGGGAUAUUCUGGGUCUGUCGCAUGAUGGGUCUGGGAAAGAUAUUGUUUCGGUGGGGGAUGGGCUCGCGGCCUAUCAGCUUGUUGGUGAGGUGAUGGCCUACCAAGGCGAUGAGGAGUAGCCGGCCUGAGAGGGUCGGCCGUCACACAGGGGAGGCGACACGGACAAGACUACUACGGGCGGCAGCAGGGGGGAAUAUGGAACGGUGGGCGGAAGGCUGAUGCAGCGACGCGGCGUGAGGGAUGGAGGCCUGCGGGUUGUGAACCUCUUUCGCGAGUGAAGAAGGGCGGCCUCGUUUGUGGGUGGGUUGACGGUAGCUGGAUAAGAAGCGCCGGCUAACUACGUG